CUUCGAGUGAACCAUGGUUAAGGAACUCGGCAAAAUGCCCCCGUAACUUCGGGAGAAGGGGGGCCGGAUACGUUACAUGGCUUGCCCAUGGAAGCGUUGAUGGCCGCAGAGACCAGGCCCAAGCGACUGUUUACUAAAAACACAGGUCCGUGCGAAGAAGUAAUUCGAUGUAUACGGACUGACGCCUGCCCGGUGCUGGAACGUUAAGGGGACAGGUUAGCUGGUUUAGGCCGGCGAAGCUUUGAACUUAAGCGCCAGUAAACGGCGGUGGUAACUAUAACCAUCCUAAGGUAUCGAAAUUCCUUGUCGGGUAAGUUCCGACCUGCACGAAUGGCGUAACGACUUGGGCGCUGUCUCAACCAUGGACUCGGCGAAAUUGCAUUACGAGUAAAGAUGCUCGUUACGCGCAGCAGGACGGAAAGACCCCGGGACCUUUACUACAACUUGGUAUUGGUGGUCGGUACAACUUGUGUAGGAUAGGUGGGAGACUGUGAAGCUCGGACGCCAGUUCGGGUGGAGUCAUCGUUGAAAUACCACUCUGGUUGUUCUGGCUGUCUAACUUAGGUCCAUUAUCUGGAUCAGGGACAGUGCCUGGUGGGUAGUUUGACUGGGGCGGUCGCCUCCUAAAAGGUAACGGAGGCGCUCAAAGGUUCCCUCAGCCUGGUUGGCAAUCAGGUGUCGAGUGUAAGUGCACAAGGGAGCUUGACUGUGAGACAGACAUGUCGAGCAGGGACGAAAGUCGGAACUAGUGAUCCGGCGGUGGCAUGUGGGAGCACCGUCGCUCAACGGAUAAAAGGUACCCCGGGGAUAACAGGCUGAUCUUCCCCAAGAGUCCAUAUCGACGGGAUGGUUUGGCACCUCGAUGUCGGCUCGUCGCAUCCUGGGGCUGGAGUAGGUCCCAAGGGUUGGGCUGUUCGCCCAUUAAAGCGGCACGCGAGCUGGGUUUAGAACGUCGUGAGACAGUUCGGUCCCUAUCCGCUGCGCGCGCAGGAGACUUGAGAAGGGCUGCCCCUAGUACGAGAGGACCGGGGUGGACGAACCUCUGGUGUGCCAGUUGUUCCGCCAGGAGCACGGCUGGUUGGCUACGUUCGGGAGUGAUAACCGCUGAAAGCAUCUAAGCGGGAAGCACGCUUCAAGAUGAGGUCUCCCACCGAGUUAAUCGGGUAAGGCCCCCAGUAGACCACUGGGUUGAUAGGCCAGAAGUGGAAGCACCGUAAGGUGUGGAGCUGACUGGUACUAAUAGGCCGAGGGCUUGUCU
rnacentral:rRNA from 1 species